GACGAACCGUCCAAACGUUAUUCGGAAUCACUGGGCUUACAGAGUUCGUAGGCGGUCCCAAAAGUUAGGUGUGAAAUCCCUCGGCUCAACCGAGGAACUGCGCUUAAAACUGUGGGACUCGAGGGGGAUAGAGGAAAGCGGAACUGAUGGUGGAGCGGUGAAAUGCGUUGAUAUCAUCAGGAACACCGGUGGCGAAGGCGGCUUUCUGGGUCUUACCUGACGCUGAGGAACGAAAGCCAGGGGAGCGAACGGG
rnacentral:rRNA from 1 species